rnacentral:misc_RNA from 1 species
UUUCCGUAGGUGAACCUGCGGAAGGAUCAUUGCACACACGAUGCAGCAAACUAGCGAACUGUGUUUGUCCCCCACCUACCCCAAACACGAGGGGCCGCAUCUGGAGGUGCGGCUGUCGACGGCAAGGUCCCGACCUUCGGGUCCCCGCAGUGGUUCCCGCAAGCGGGCUGAUCAUGUCGCCGUCUGGGUGUCCCGCGCGGGCUCUCGCCUUGCCUUAGGGUUGGGCGACGCGGGCAUUCUCCUCCCUUCGAUGGCGUCGUCCCCUCCUCCGGGAGAGCGACACGCCUCGAGGGCCGUUUACAACUUUGCACCAUGUACAACACCAGUGACUGAGUAUACCGGUGUCCCGGUUCCGCUGCUGCCUUCGGGUGGUGCGUGAUUGGUCCAUAGGAACAAGAGUAAAUAAAACAACUCUCAGCAACGGAUAUCUUGGCUCUU